rnacentral:rRNA from 1 species
UUGGUGACCAGCGGAGGGAUCAUUACCGAGUUUACAACUCCCAAACCCAAUGUGAACGUUACCAAACUGUUGCCUCGGCGGGAUCUCUGCCCCGGGUGCGUCGCAGCCCCGGACCAAGGCGCCCGCCGGAGGACCAACCAAAACUCUUUUUGUAUACCCCCUCGCGGGUUUUUUUAUAAUCUGAGCCUUCUCGGCGCCUCUCGUAGGCGUUUCGAAAAUGAAUCAAAACUUUCAACAACGGAUCUCUUGGUUCUGGCAUCGAUGAAGAACGCAGCGAAAUGCGAUAAGUAAUGUGAAUUGCAGAAUUCAGUGAAUCAUCGAAUCUUUGAACGCACAUUGCGCCCGCCAGUAUUCUGGCGGGCAUGCCUGUCCGAGCGUCAUUUCAACCCUCGAACCCCUCCGGGGGGUCGGCGUUGGGGAUCGGCCCUCCCUUAGCGGGUGGCCGUCUCCGAAAUACAGUGGCGGUCUCGCCGCAGCCUCUCCUGCGCAGUAGUUUGCACACUCGCAUCGGGAGCGCGGCGCGUCCACAGCCGUUAAACACCCAACUUCUGAAAUGUUGACCUCGGAUCAGGUAGGAAUACCCGCUGAACUUAAGCAUAUCAAUA